CGUGGGCACCGGUUUCUACGGGGAGCAGAGUAUUUGCACAGCUUUCAGUGAUGACGCUGCUCCACGUUUGCUCCAGUUUGCUCCAUGGGGAGGGCAGCAGAACCAGCACAUGGAUGGGGCAGAGUCCCCAGCUGGUUAUUGAGGUGUGUUUUGCAGAACAGAGACCUAGAGCCAGACGGUGUCCUCACUGGUGGAGCUGUCUGUCACUCACCUUCUGCUGCAAAUGGGGAGAAGGAAAUGUCCCCAAGGCUGGAGUGGGAAGGGGUAUGUGAGUAAGGUGGUUGACCAAGGACACACGAAGGUUUGUAAAGAUCUGAGACACUUUUAAUGAGUAUACCAUGAAAACAAAGAACCUUCUGACACCUGCAGAAAGGAAGGAGAAGGAGGAAAAAGCUGAGAGAACCUUGAUGUGCCUCAUCGGUUUUUAAGAGCUGCCCAACAGUGGAACCGUUCUACAGCAUGCCUCCUAAGGUCUGCAGCGGGGAAGAAAUCAUAUUCAGCUGGAUUUUGAGCAUGAGCAGAGUGUGAUUUUUGCUCUGAAAAACAUAUUUGUGGUAAUCUGACUGGUAAUCCUGUGUCUCUGUUCCUAACACUGUGUGCAUCACACGACAAGACACAGAUGCUUCCCAAGGAAGCUGUUUAGGAAUCUCAGCUCCACAUUUCCCAAAUUUCCAAUGCUGAGUGUUUACUGUUGUGUUUCACAUUACCUUUGAACUCUCCAGAACUUAUUUUAUAGGAUUUCCUGUGAGAAUUUUUAACUCUAAAUAAACAUGAUACGAGUCUCACUUCAGUAUUUCUGCAAAGCUUUUUUUGCUUGUCAGACUUUAUGUUAAGCAAACGUGACAAACAAUGGACGGAUAAAAGCUGCAGCAUGGCAGGCUCUGUGGAUGACAGCUCUGUGCAUUGCAGGGAACAUUUCACUGUUCACAGGAUCUGCUAGACAAAGUAUUACAGACAACUGUUUAUAUAAAUUCAUAAG